GCCUUUCCCAGAUCCAGCUAACCCAGGUCAAGAAAAUUGUACAGUCAUCAAAGAACCCAAGUACGAAAAGUUCAAGGAGUCGUGCACUUCUAACCAUCUGUUCAUUUGUGAAAAGCCCAUGAAGCUUGCCUGUGUCUGGCACCUCCUUCAUAAUUCCUUCAAUUGAAAUGGUUUCUCUUCAAGAGAAUCAAAUGUCAUAACACUUCAUUUCUUUUAGAAUGAUACAUUGUUUUUGUGAUCUACACAAUCAAAAGCUUUUCUAUAAUCAAUAAUGUAUAAGUUGAUUUUCUUCUGAAAUUAUUUGGCAUGUUCCAGUAGUUUAUGUUUGGUAUUAAAAAAAACGAGCCUGUG